rnacentral:rRNA from 1 species
GCGACCCCAGGUCAGGCGGGACUACCCGCUGAAUUUAAGC